AUUUUGGCUGGCGACGGCAUUCCCUGAUUAACCGCCGCAGCCUGUGACUGGUGAUGCCUAUAUACGG
rnacentral:ncRNA from 1 species